UCCCACAUUCAUUGUAAUUUCCUUUUGUGCUGUGCAUUACUUGAAACCUCUCUUUGUUUUAAUUACAGGAAAGAUUAAACAAUCCAGAAAAAGAGAAUGAACUCCUGAAGAAAAACUAUCAUAAGCUGCGUAAGUGUCUUCUGUAUGACCCAUGGGCAGCAAUGGAAAUCAAAGGAACAGCAAAUGAAACUGCAAAUUGCUAAACUAGAGAUGGCUAUCAAAUCUGAUUUAGCAGACAAAAAUGCAAUCCUUGACAAGAUCAAAGUAGAAAGAGGAGGUUAAACAAGAAAGGCUAGCAGAUAAGGUGGAGAUGGCUGAAGGAAUUUAACAGGAGACAGAAAAGCUCUCACAUCUGUGAGAGGAGCAGUUAGCUGACCAAACAUCAAUUACUUCUGGAAAUGAGAAGAGAAAUAACUGAAGAAUUGGAACCAGAAGGUAGAAUUCAUUUUUAUGAAUAAGUAACUGUAUUUUGUUAAUAAAUCUGUGUCUCUUUCCA
rnacentral:lncRNA from 1 species